rnacentral:rRNA from 1 species
UGAUCCAGCCAUGCCGCGUGUGUGAAGAAGGCCUUUUGGUUGUAAAGCACUUUAAGCAGUGAAGAAGACCUAACGGUUAAUACCCGUUAGCGAUGACAUUAGCUGCAGAAUAAGCACCGGCUAACUCUGUGCCAGCAGCCGCGGUAAUACAGAGGGUGCAAGCGUUAAUCGGAAUUACUGGGCGUAAAGCGAGCGUAGGUGGCUUGAUAAGUCAGAUGUGAAAUCCCCGGGCUUAACCUGGGAACUGCAUCUGAUACUGUUAAGCUAGAGUAGGUGAGAGGGAAGUAGAAUUCCAGGUGUAGCGGUGAAAUGCGUAGAGAUCUGGAGGAAUACCGAUGGCGAAGGCAGCUUCCUGGCAUCAUACUGACACUGAGGCUCGAAAGCGUGGGUAGCAAACAGGAUUAGAUACCCUGGUAGUCCACGCCGUAAACGAUGUCUACUAGUCGUUGGGUCCCUUGAGGACUUAGUGACGCAGCUAACGCAAUAAGUAGACCGCCUGGGGAGUACGGCCGC